GCGCGUGUGUGAAGAAGGCCUUCGGGUUGUAAAGCACUUUUGUCAGGAACGAAACGGUGGGGGCUAAACCUCCUGCUAAUGACGGUACCUGAAGAAUAAGCACCGGCUAACUACGUGCCAGCAGCCGCGGUAAUACGUAGGGUGCGAGCGUUAAUCGGAAUUACUGGGCGUAAAGCGUGCGCAGGCGGUUGUGCAAGACAGAUGUGAAAUCCCCGGGCUUAACCUGGGAAUGGCAUUUGUGACUGCACGGCUAGAGUGUGUCAGAGGGGGGUAGAAUUCCACGUGUAGCAGUGAAAUGCGUAGAUAUGUGGAGGAAUACCGAUGGCGAAGGCAGCCCCCUGGGAUAACACUGAUGCUCAGGCACGAAAGCGUGGGGAGCAAACAGGAUUAGAUACCCUGGUAGUCCACGCCCUAAACGAUGUCAACUAGUUGUCGGGUCUUAAUUGACUUGGUAACGCAGCUAACGCGUGAAGUUGACCGCCUGGGGAGUACGGUCGCAAGAUUAAAACUCAAAGGAAUUGACGGGGACCCGCACAAGCGGUGGAUGAUGUGGAUUAAUUCGAUGCAACGCGAAAAAGCUUACCUACCCUUGACAUGUCAGGAACCCCGCUGAGAGGUGGGGGUGCUCGAAAGAGAGCCUGAACACAGGUGCUGCAUGGCUG
rnacentral:rRNA from 1 species